rnacentral:tmRNA from 1 species
GGGGCCGUAAAGGUUUCGACGGGGGUUUUGAGGCAUGAUAAGCGUGGCGGGCCGGAUAAUCCCGUAAUACUGUCCAACUUAAAAAAUAAACGACAACAACAAAGUUGCUCUUGCAGCGUAAGCUGUGAUGCGGCAUUAAGCCGCCCGUACCGCGGGUGAGGACUACGGCUCCCGCCGUGCGUCAAAUCAGUAGUGAACAUGCACCGAGAAUUCGUCCUUAUAUCGGUCAUGCACAAAAGGACUACCCUACGGAGAGCCUGUCAUUCGGCGCUCCCGACGGGGAAGCUUAAAAGAACGACUGCCCACGGAGAAGGUUAUGUCAAGAGGCUUUCGGACACGGGUUCAAUUCCCGUCGGCUCCACCA